CCCUUAGAUGUUCUGGGCCGCACGCGCGCUACACUGACGAUGGCAACGAGUUUUUCCUUCGCCGAAAGGUGUGGGUAAUCUUUUGAAACAUCGUCGUGCUGGGGAUAGAUCAUUGCAAUUUUUGAUCUUGAACGAGGAAUUCCUAGUAAGCGCGAGUCAUCAGCUCGCGUUGAAUACGUCCCUGCCCUUUGUACACACCGCCCGUCGCUCCUACCGAUUGAGUGGUCCGGUGAGGCUUUGGGAUCUGAGCGGAAAGAGCGUUUCGCUGUUUCUGCCCGGAAAACUCAGUCGAACCUUAUCAUUUAGAGGAAGGAGAAGUCGUAACA
rnacentral:rRNA from 1 species